rnacentral:rRNA from 1 species
CCGCCCAAGAGUUCAUAUCGACGGCGGUGUUUGGCACCUCGAUGUCGGCUCAUCUCAUCCUGGGGCUGUAGCCGGUCCCAAGGGUAUGGCUGUUCGCCAUUUAAAGUGGUACGCGAGCUGGGUUUAGAACGUCGUGAGACAGUUCGGUCCCUAUCUGCCGUGGACGUUGGAGAUUUGAGGAAAGCUGCUCCUAGUACGAGAGGACCGGAGUGGACGAACCUCUGGUGUUCGGGUUGUGACGCCAGUCGCAUUGCCCGGUAGCUAUGUUCGGACAGGAUAACCGCUGAAAGCAUCUAAGCGGGAAGCCUCCCUCGAGAUAAGAUUUCA